GACUGUGGCUCUGGGAAGACAUUUUACUCAUUUGAUUUCUUUUUUCUUGUAGUCUUCUUGUCCAGUUCUCAGGUGUUUACCACCUAUUAGAAUUUCACCUGUAUGGGUCCUGUGUUUGAGACAGUCCCAGGACUUGUCAGCUGUAUAGGCCUCAUAAAAGACAGCUCUGUUCAGGGUUUGAAAGGAUCUGCAGGAUCCCCCCUGUGAGAGGCAACUCAGCAGCUCGGUGCCCUCUGCCAUUUCAGCACUGCCACUGGAGAAGCCCAGGAGGAGCAGAGCAGUAGCUGAGCAGCAAUUUGAAUAUUCAUAUUUAACUCUUCAAACAACAGAAGAUACUUCAAAACCAUGUUAAGAAGGAUAAGCUUGGAGUGCCCAGUCACCGUGGUAACUGCCAGAAAAAUUCUCCUGAAGUUUGAAGAGGUCAGCUAACAGGGUCAACAACUCUGGCCUCUCUCUGAGCUGGGCCUGGCAGGCUCCAUCCUGCGGUUGGGGUGUUAGCGCAGGCUGAGCCCUGGGAGGUGGACCAUUCCAGCUCUGAUAUAAAUUUUUUGAGUCAGUUCACGGCCUGGACUCUCCAGGUGGCCUCCAAAAUCGAUUGUGACCUUGUGACCCUGUCUAACGGAGGCAUAGCAUCCAACCUAAGUAAGGAUUUAGCCAGGAACGACAGCUUUCCACUGAGUGUUAUUGGGGACAGUACAAACAGUUUUGGAAGCAAGGAGGUAGGUAUGAAGAGUAGAGGUCAUUAAAAGCAUAUUAAAAAACUAUUUCAAAAAUCCUUGUUAGUGGAAAGUUUUUAUUAGCAGUAACUGUUCCUUAAAUAAACUCCUCUGGCAACUUUUUUU